UUAAAGAAGUGAAAAUCCAACAGAAAGUACUUGGACCCAGGAAUAAAAUAGAAGCCUUGAAGACUGAAGGAUAUGGGCCUGGUUGAUCCACUUCAGAUUCAUCCCCUGUUUUAUUAGAGGUUGAAAAAGGUUCAAGACCUGGUUGUACCACAGCUCCCACCGACAGCUAAGGAACCAGUUUGGCGUCUGGUUUGUCUGUUGUUUUACUGCUGACCUUCAAAUCAACUUUAACCCCUGACCUCUGGAGGCAUCUAUCAUGACAAGAGGCUGUUUAACACAAAUGGUGCCCAUUUAUAGGGGAAGAGACUCAGAAGAUUUCCUUUUUAUGAAGAAUUUAGUUUUUCACCCCUCUUUUCUCAGUCACCACAGGUGAAAUCCCUCUCAGCAGCUGGCUUAUGAAAUAAUGUGAAGGGAGGCCUUAAUGAGCAGAACGCACCCUCAGCUGGAGAUAAAUAUAUGCAAAUGAGAUGCACAAACAAAGGAGCCUGGACAGAGAAAUAUCUGCAAUUCCAGCAAAAUGCUGCCUGCAGCUCGAAGAUGAACAGCUUUGAUAAAAUGUGAGAAAUAUUCCCCACAUGUGCUAUUGCCUCAGACACACCAAUCUGCAACAAGCAACUAGGAUAAAAAAUAGUUAAAAGUGAAUCAACAUUUAUCCGGAAUAUACAAUCCUGACCCCCUUAUGCCCCGCCCCCCACCAAAAAAAAAGUCAUUUGUCUUCUGUGUCCUGUGAUGUUUUGAGGAUUCUGGCAAAUAUGGCAGUUAAACAAACUUCUAGCACAAUCUAAAUACAGUCUGUUCAAGAGAGGCUUCCAA